rnacentral:lncRNA from 1 species
UACUCUUUCAGCGAUACUCUUAUUAAAUUUGAUUUGUUCGUUUGUUUCCUUAUUUCGAAUUAUGUUAUGAUUUCACAUAAUUAUUUCAUGUGAAAUAAAUAUAUUAGUUUCAUUUUGGAGUUGAUACACAUGACUCGUAUUUGUACUCUUUGAAUUAGGAUAUCAUGUUUAGUAUUUAUUUUUGAUAAUUAUAAAGUGGUACAUGUUGCUACCUUUUUUUUGAGAUCUUGUGACUAUAAUUUGAUUUGGUUCAACAUGUACAUAUAGAACCUUUUUGUUGGUAUUAUGUCGCAUGUGUUGUGACAUAGUAUUUUUGUUAGAAUAUACCGUAGGAUAUACCCGAGCUAUAACCACCUGUGGGGGUACCACAGGCAUGUCGUCUUGGCACGAGAGGCAUGACACUUUCCGUGGCGGUGUGAUUAGUCCACGGCGUCUCCGUUUGGGCUCCGGAGGAAGUGGGCCAUUUGGUGUUUUGUUGUGGGAGGCGUAUGGGUUAACCCUAGUUUUCUGUUCUGCGGAUUUGUGAUGUUGUGCCAAACACACCUAUCCGAUUUGCAUACAUUUGGAUUCGCGGUCCAAUGUGUGAUUUGCCUGUGUGGCAUUGUUUUGAUGUGCCUGUGUGGCAUUAUUUUGGUUGCCUAUGUGGCAUCAUUUGAUUUUUCUGUGUGGCAUUAGUUUGACUUGCCUAUGUGGCAAUGUAUAUUUCUGAGCUCAUUCGGUAUGAAAUAACUCCAGCCAUUUGUUUCAGCCUAUUAUUUUAUUGUAUUAGUUUUGUUGGUUUCUGUUCAGUUCAAUUCAUUGAGUUAGUUACUUUAGUUCCUUAUUUUUUUAUUCUUCUAUUGGUUUCGUCAAUUCUAUUGAUUCAGAUAUAUUCCAUUUGAAUAUUUAGAGAUUAUAUUUUCGUCAGUAUUUACACUUGAGGCUUUGUUCAGUAUUUUGUCUCAGUUGUUUUCGUAUAUCAGUUAUACAUCUUUGUAUUAUCUAUAUCCGUACUGGGC